rnacentral:misc_RNA from 1 species
CCAAACUUGGUCAUUUAGAGGAAGUAAAAGUCGUAACAAGGUUUCCGUAGGUGAACCUGCGGAAGGAUCAUUAACAAAUCAACAAACAAACCCUGUGUCCAUGUCUUCUUUCCCCUUGGAGUAGUAAUUUUGAUGAGAUGUAAUUAUCUCAAGUAUGUAUGACAGAGUAGUAGUGUAUAUUCAUGCAAUAUUAUGUGCGUGAAUAUGCCUGUGUCUCUAUCAGACAUAUUGAAUUAGUAGAUCCAUCAUUAUUAUCACCUACAACAAGGGGAGAGUUUAUCAUCUUUAUUGACUAUGAUUGACAAGCCUUAGUAGAUCAUUAUAAAAAUGUUAUUAAACAACUUUUAACAAUGGAUCUCUUGGCUCUUGCAUCGAUGAAGAACGCAGC